UUACAUAUGGCUUAGUUGGUCAGAGCGCUUGGACGGUUCUCAAAGAGGUUCGGGUUCAAAUCCCGCUACAUUAA
rnacentral:tRNA from 1 species